rnacentral:lncRNA from 1 species
UGAAUAAGAGCCUAAGAUAAACCUACCCUUAGUCCAAACUAGAAAAACCUAUUCUAGCAUGCCCUCAAAUAUUCAUGCACAUACUAACAAUGUGUAAAUCACACGAAAAGUAGAGUCAAAGAAAGACAUAACCUGAUCAAUCAUAUGCAAGAUCCAUCCUUGAAUUAAUGAGUGCCUUCUUGAACUCAAGAGAAAUUCAUAACUCACUUUUCAUAAUAUGAUCUUCAUAAUCAAAUAUUAGAAGUUGUCAGUCACAUUGUAUUUAAGCACUUUUUUUCUUCUCUUUAUCACUUACUUCAGCUCAUACAAAUUUCGCACUUAAUUUUUCCACACUGAAGUGAGAACACAAGGUGGCUAUGUAUAGAAAAAAUAGUUAUAACCGCCUGUAAUCGAUUAAAUAUAUAAUGUAAUUGAUUAUUUAAAAGAAGUGAUCGAAUAUAUUAUCUUUUCAAUCGAUUAAAGUGUUCUUCUAAAAAAUUGAAAAACUUUCAAGAACAAUGUAAUCGAUUAGAUUCUUGAUGUAAUCAAUUAAAGUGUUAUUCAUCACUUCAGAAAUAUUUUUCAGAGAGAAGUAAUCGAUUAUGAUCACUUGGUAAUCAAUUAAAGCAGAGACUUCUAAAAAACCAAUCAUUGUCUCAAAAAGAAUUGUGUAAUCGAUUACGAUUACCUUGUAAUGGAUUAAACCGAUACGAAAACUUCUCUGCAAGCUACAAACACUUGUAU